GGAAGGCCAGAUGAUAUCCUUAAUAUAUCAUGAUGAAGCGAGUCAUUCGUUGCAUCUAUCUGCAGUAGUGGAGUACUCUGGAUGGUCAUAGCACGCAUUAUUUCAUUCGCUUUUAUUUUAGAUAUCCAUGGCAACGACUGGCUCAUUGUUUGCCAGUUUGGCAGCAUGCUUCUUCAUUGUGACGUCAUCGCUUCCUAUUGAUGAUGUGAGCCUCGACUUGUCUCCUAGCAUUAUCAACUUUCUUGGUGUUGGCUAUAACAUACUCUCAGGCAACCCGGAUGGCGGUGACGUCACAAACGGUGAAGUCGACCCAGGACUGUUAAUGACAAGGCGGAUUCUAGACAUGACGUAUGGCAACGGUGAGCUCUCAUUGGACGGCCGAUAUCAGAUACCUGAUCAGGUGAUUGUUACACCACGUGACAGCUGCACACAGGACAGUCACGUGUUCCACAAUACAAGAACAUACCAGGAAAAGCUGGAGAAUGAUGUUGAGCUA